rnacentral:rRNA from 1 species
UACAGAGGGUGCGAGCGUUAAUCGGAAUUACUGGGCGUAAAGGGCGCGUAGGCGGCCUGCUAAGUCGGACGUGAAAUCCCCCGGCUCAACCGGGGAACUGCGUCCGAUACUGGUGGGCUCGAAUCCGGGAGAGGGAUGUGGAAUUCCAGGUGUAGAGGUGAAAUUCGUAGAUAUUGGGAAGAACACCGGUGGCGAAGGCGGCGACCUGGUCCUUGACUGACGCUGAGGCGCGAAAGCGUGGGGAGCAAACAGG